UGAUGAGACCCUCUGAUUCAAAGUUUGGUCCAGCGAGAACCUUUCCCAAUGGUGAAAUAAUGACACUACCACCUUGGGAGACUAUGGCUUCAUCGUGUUGGUCAUCGUACCAGUCGGUAAAAAGGUGAUCAACAUGCGCAGGGAAAUCUUUACGCUGGCAGAACUGGCAAGCCGACAAUACGAAACAUCCACCCUCCAUGGCAAUGUGCAUCAUCGACGAUUGCCAUUCCUUGGAACCAUCGGCAGUAGGUGCACAAUAUAAUUCAACUCCUGCAUGCAGCCAGAAUCCAAAUUGUUAUAGCAUUAAAAAGUUAUAAUCUUGAAGCUGUGAAUACAAUUCUAAUUAAUAGCAAGGACACCUAGGACUAACCCUUUCCGUACAGGGCAGUUCUGUAGAGGGGCAUUCUAUUUUCCCAGCAAAUAGCAGCACCGAGUUUGCCAAUGGGUGUGUCGUAAACAGGGAUGGUUGAUCCGUCCCCGAAACCCCAGAUGCAACGUUCGAGACUUGUUGGCAUGACCUUACGGAUUAUUAUUUCAUUAUUAAAAUCGUAACUAUAUAUAUAAAAAUUAGUAAAUUAUUGUUUUAUUGUCAUAUUCAAAGAUAUUGUAACAUUUCACAAAUUUUGAAAGUUUUUUAAAAAAUUAAACUUUUCGCUUCAUAGAUUUAUAUUAUCGAGUAAAUAAUUAAACAUUUAGUUUUUGUUUAAUUUUUUUUUAAAAACUAUAUAGUUUAAAAUUUGUCUUCAUUGGUUUAAGGUAGUAAAGAUUAAUCAUUGUUAGAUAAUAUGAUUUUUGUUAUUUUAAAAAAAAUCUUUAUAAUUUUAAAAGUUAACAUCGGCAAAUAUUUAAAUAUUUAACAUAUGGAGGCAGUGGCGGAGGCAGAAAAUAAUUUAUUGGGGGCACAAAUAUUAAAUGUUAUUAUCUAUGUUAUUGUUAUGUGUAUUUGUAGGGGGUUUAAGCAAAUCUAUGGGGGCAAACGUUAUUUUAGAAUGUGGGCAUAUAGACUGGGAUUUAGUAACUUACACUAAUUUUUAAAAUUUUGUUGGGUUCAGUGGCCCUCAUCUUACUACAUGUGGCUCUGCCACUGUAUGGAGGUAUAAUAUUACAAUAUUAAAUUAAAUCUAUUUAAUUUAUACUAUCUAUAAAUCCAAUGGAUCAUCUAUUCUUUAAAUUCAAUUAUUGAUAGCCCAAUAAAAGUUUUUGGUAGGUCCAAAAUUUAAAUGUUAAGAUUAGAGAUUCAAUGUAACAUGACUUUAUAGGAAUAUGUUCAUUUUUUAAAGAAUCACACAUGAAUCAAGAUUGUGACUUCUGUUUUAAUAUAUAAGAUUUUGAAAUCUAAUAGUGUUUUUUUAGCAAUAUGUGUGGUAGGAUCUGACACAAUUCCAAUAUCCAGAUUUUUUGAACCAUUUUUGUCUAAAUAAUAUUUUAGAUCGCUUCAAAAAAAUAAUAGUAUUUUUUGACGGCCGACUCAUCAAAUUUAAAGAGCCAAAACACAUCCUUUUUUCCUAUAGAAAAUACUACUAGACUUCAAAUUCAUUGCAUAAUAUUCAAGUACAAAUUGGUUUCCACAUGCAACUGGUUCUCUUACAUUAUUGAAACAUAAAAUAAACAAACUUAACUGUGAGUUCCAAAAGGAUAUUUUGAACUGGCAAUAACAUAAGACAAUAACAUAAGACUGGCAUGAACUCCUCCAGUAGUUGAGAAUAGGAUAAACUGACGACCUUCAAAUCUCCAUUAUUUCUCCUUAGACUCUGAGCCAUCCUCAGCUUUCACCGUCUUCGAGACGAAUGUAACUGGUUUCUUCGGGUGCUCAUUUACGGUCAAGUUAAAAACAUCUGGUUUCGAGUAAUGUCCCACCACAUCAAAGUAUAACUUAGCUCUUGCUAUGUCACCAAGAUCUACAUAAUAUAGUGUUAUAGAUAUUAUUAGGCAAGAAAGUUUUGAUUUACUAAAGCCUAUGAUCAAUAACAAAUAAGAGUGUAAAUAUACCAAGAUCAGCUGUGAUGAGACCCUCUGAUUCAAAGUUUGGUCCAGCGAGAACCUUUCCCAAUGGUGAAAUAAUGACACUACCACCUUGGGAGACUAUGGCUUCAUCGUGUUGGUCAUCGUACCAGUCGGUAAAAAGGUGAUCAACAUGCGCAGGGAAAUCUUUACGCUGGCAGAACUGGCAAGCCGACAAUACGAAACAUCCACCCUCCAUGGCAAUGUGCAUCAUCGACGAUUGCCAUUCCUUGGAACCAUCGGCAGUAG
rnacentral:lncRNA from 1 species